rnacentral:misc_RNA from 1 species
AAUAUCCUUCACCCUGGAUGAAAGUCCGGGUGGACCAGCCUGCUGGGCUCUAAACACGUAAUGCCGGAGCCCGAUCUCCCAGUGUGGGAUCGUUCCGGUACUCGUUACUUCAAACCAUUGUGAACCUCCUGUUGCUUCGGCGGCAUGCUUCGUGCUGUCAGCCCGUCCGAGGCCCACCGAAACCACUUCUGUAAACUUCUGUCAGUAUACGAAGAGUAAAUCGUUAAAACUUUCAACAACGGAUCUCUUGGUUCU